CCUACGGGGCGCAGCAGUGGGGAAUAUUGGGCCAUGGGCGCAAGCCUGACCCAGCAAUGCCGCGUGAAGGAAGAAGGCUUUCGGGUUGUAAACUUCUUUGACAGGGGAAGAGCAGAAGACGGUACCUGCAAAGGAAGCACCGGCUAACUCCGUGCCAGCAGCCGCGGUAAUACGGAGGGUGCGAGCGUUAAUCGGAAUUACUGGGCGUAAAGCGCUCGUAGGCGGUAUGUCAAGUCAAGGGUGAAAUCCCCGCGCUCAACGUGGGAACUGCCUUUGAAACUGGCAAACUGGAGUGUGUGAGAGGAUAGUGGAAUUCCAGGUGUAGGAGUGAAAUCCGUAGAUAUCGGGAGGAACAUCAGUGGCGAAGGCGACUAUCUGGCACAUAACUGACGCUGAGGAGCGAAAGCGUGGGUAGCAAACAGGAUUAGAUACCCUUGUAGUC
rnacentral:rRNA from 1 species